UUCCCCUGGCAAUGGACAAAGAGACACCUUAUUGGUGGUGUUGUUCUUAGAUCAAUCAAGGCCAGAACAGUUAAAAGUCCUUUGUUCAUCCUAGUUUUAUAUCUUACUUGGUGACCAAAGCUGUUUUUUGCCCAAGACUCAUAA